UUCAAAUCCAAAUGCAUGAUUGCUCAGGAUUUGGGGAGUGCGCUAGAUCUUUUGAAGAUACUUUUAGUUAUUGAAGUUUUAGCUAUACUAGUUAGAGUAUUUUAUUUGAUUUAUGUUAAUAGUUAGCAAAUGUUGACUUAUGUCACUUUGGAACUAUGGUAAGAAUUAUUUGAAUCGGCCUUGAUUAAAUAAAUUUUUAAGAAUUAUUAUUGUUUGAUAUGAUCUGUAGCCUUGCAUGCUUGUAUAGUCCGCUAUACGGGUAUGCGGCGUCUAUUACACUCUAGAUUCAGAGCGUGACAAUACCACUCCCCCUACUAGUCAAUUUUUCAAAAAAUCUGCAGGCAUACACUUGUCAGUCCGCAGAUCAGAAUUAUAUGGAAUUUUGACUAGGUAUGGUCACUUAUGAUGUUGUACAAGAACAUAUCUUUGUUUGCUAUCCCUGGAAGCAAAAGUCCCAAAGUGCCAUUCCUUCAAUUUAUCCAACGAUCUAUAAUUCAAAAACCACUCUCUCAAUCCACAUCACCAAGUAAUAUGAGACCCAGAUGAAGUUUGGCUGCCUAUCAUGUUUCUCAGGGCCAUGUAAUGGUUUCAAUCAAUCACAGCCACCUUCAAAGACUAAAAUACAUAUUAUGGAGUUGUCUCUCAAAAACUAACCUAACCAACGGCUUCUGCUAGUGAGCUCACAAUAUUAUCAUCCAAUUCAUAUUCUCCAUGAAUACCCUUCUGCAAAGGAUAUAUUUUGCAGUUAUCACUCCAAAGCUAAUGCCCUACACCUACAUAUUUAUCUUCGUAAAAGAGUGAUACUUAGGUAUCACUAAACUACUACCCACCUCACCAAGAAAUAAAAAAAUAAAAAAUAAAAGCAUACAAAAAUUAAAACAUAACAUAUAUGAUGGACAGAUAGUUUUCUAUAUCCUCUCAUGGCAUCAUAUACAUGAUCUUUUUUAUUGGUCAAAGGGAUUACUUAAACAUGAAGAUAAAAGAAGGAGCACAAUAGACAAUUUUUGUUUUCAAUAUAAAGCACGCCUACAAAAAAAUAUAUAGUACUUAAUAUGUGGAUAAAUAUCAUCAAUUCAUAAACAUAAGCAAAACCAAAUGACAUAUAACCCCCCAAAAAAAGACGAAAGUCUUUUAAUGUGUCGAACUGAACUAAAGAACGAAAUAUGCCUUAAUCAAAUUAGUGAACAACUGAACCAUUUCUCUUUUUUUAUAAAUAAGAGCAAACACAGAAAUUUCGACUAAAAAAAUGAUGUUGCUCUCCUUCUCAACCUGUACAGAAUGAUCUAGAGAAAAUUCGUGCCUGACUCAAAUAAGAUGGGUGGUUGAACCUCCUCUUUAGCGGGAUCUAGUUCUGGAGACAAAAAAAAAAUGCUGAACUGAUCUUGAUCUAGUUUAGCAGGAUAGAUUAGAUUUGCAAUGGGAUAAUGGGAUAUCGAAAGUUCGAUCUACCAUGAAUACCAUGUUUAAAAAGCUGGAAAUGCCUAAGACACCCACUUUGGAUGAGAAACCCUCUGACAGAUACGGUGAAUGACAUCACCCUCCAGAUGGACUCCUUGUCUUGUGAGAGGGAUUUCUAUUAUCCGACCAUUUUCAAGUAUCUAAAGAUUCUAAUCCAUUGAUCAGUAAGGGAAAGCAACACCACUCCACAACUUCCACAUGUUCAGCCACAUUUUUUCCCUCUCCAAUCAAAAUCCAGCAGGGCCCACCACCCUGACACUAAUAUUUACCAUCAUUGAUUAAAUUAUUGAUUAAAUUCAGACACUAAUAUUUACCAUUGCAGUAAGGAUCAUACUCCAUUAUCUCAUACUCAGGAAGCAACAGGAAAUAGGAAGUCUAAUGUUUAUGCUGGAUCCCAUGUACAAUCUCAAUAUAUAUAUAUAUAUAUAUAUAUAU
rnacentral:lncRNA from 1 species